UAAUACGUAGGGCGCAAGCGUUGUCCGGAAUUAUUGGGCGUAAAGAGCUCGUAGGCGGUCUGUCACGUCGGAAGUGAAAACCCGGGGCUUAACCCCGGGCUUGCUUUCGAUACGGGCAGACUAGAGUGUGGUAGGGGAGACUGGAAUUCCUGGUGUAGCGGUGAAAUGCGCAGAUAUCAGGAGGAACACCGGUGGCGAAGGCGGGUCUCUGGGCCACUACUGACGCUGAGGAGCGAAAGCGUGGGGAGCAAACAGGAUUAGAUACCCUGGUAGUCCACGCCGUAAACGUUGGGCGCUAGGUGUGGGGGUCCUUCCACGACCUCCGUGCCGCAGCUAACGCAUUAAGCGCCCCGCCUGGGGAGUACGGCCGCAAGGCUA
rnacentral:rRNA from 1 species